AUUGAACGCUGGCGGCAGGCCUAACACAUGCAAGUCGAACGAGUGGCGGACGGGUGAGUAAUGUCUGGGAAACUGCGUGAUGGAGGGGGAUAACUCCUGGAAACGGUAGCUAAUACCGCAUACCAUCGGAUGUGCCCAGAUGUGAUUCGCUAGUAGGUGCGCUAAAGGCACACCGAGGCGACGAUCCCUAGCUGAUCUGAGAGGAUGACCAGCCACACGGGAACUGAGACACGGUCCCGACUCCUACGGGAGGCAGCAGUUGGGAGUAUUGCACAAUGGGCGCAAGCCUGAUACCGCCAUGCCGCGUGUAUGAAGAAGGCCUUCGGGUUGUAAAGUACUUUCGUCAAGGAGGCGUUACACACAGAAUAAGCAACGGGUAACUCCGUGCCAGCAGCCGCGGUAAUUC
rnacentral:rRNA from 1 species